rnacentral:rRNA from 1 species
UACGGAGGGUGCAAGCGUUAUCCGGAUUCACUGGGUUUAAAGGGUGCGUAGGUGGGCUGGUAAGUCCGUGGUGAAAUCUCCAAGCUUAACUUGGAAACUGCCGUGGAUACUAUUAGUCUUGAAUCUCGUGGAGGUAAGCGGAAUAUGUCAUGUAGCGGUGAAAUGCCUAGAUAUGACAUAGAACACCGAUAGCGAAGGCAGCUUGCUACACGAGUAUUGACACUGAGGCACGGAAGCGUGGGGAUCAAACAGGAUUA